AUACGGAGGAUCCGAGCGUUAUCCGGAUUUAUUGGGUUUAAAGGGUGCGUAGGUGGGCCUGUAAGUCAGUGGUGAAAGUUUGCAGCUUAACUGUAAAAUUGCCGUUGAAACUGCCGGUCUUGAGUGCAAAUGAGGUAAGCGGAAUGUGUUGUGUAGCGGUGAAAUGCUUAGAUAUGACACAGAACACCGAUUGCGAAGGCAGCUUACUGGGAUGCCACUGACACUGAGGCACGAAAGCGUGGGUAUCAAACAGGAUUAGAUACCCUGGUAGUCCACGCAGUAAACGAUGAAUACUAGUUGUCUGCGAUAUAUUGUAGGUGACACAGCGAAAGCGUUAAGUAUUCCACCUAGGGAGUACGUUCGCAAGAAUGAAACUCAAAUGAAUUGACGGGG
rnacentral:rRNA from 1 species